CAAAGAAUAGUUUAAUUUAGAAUCUUAGCUUUGGGAGUUAAGGGUACGAGUUAGAAUCUCUUUUCUUUGA
rnacentral:tRNA from 1 species